AUUGAACGCUGGCGGCAUGCCUUACACAUGCAAGUCGAACGGCAGCGGGCCUUCGGGUGCCGGCGAGUGGCGAACGGGUGAGUAAUGCAUCGGAACGUGCCAUUGAGUGGGGGAUAACGUAGCGAAAGUUACGCUAAUACCGCAUAUUCUGUGAGCAGGAAAGCAGGGGACCGCAAGGCCUUGCGCUCUUUGAGCGGCCGAUGUCAGAUUAGCUAGUUGGUGAGGUAAAGGCUUACCAAGGCGACGAUCUGUAGCGGGUCUGAGAGGAUGAUCCGCCACACUGGAACUGAGACACGGUCCAGACUCCUACGGGAGGCAGCAGUGGGGAAUUUUGGACAAUGGGGGCAACCCUGAUCCAGCCAUGCCGCGUGAGUGAAGAAGGCC
rnacentral:rRNA from 1 species